rnacentral:rRNA from 1 species
AACGCGAAGAACCUUACCCAGGCUUGACAUGCAGAGGAAUAUGACAGAAAUGACAUAGCCCUUAGGGGCCUCUGCACAGGUGCUGCAUGGCUGUCGUCAGCUCGUGCCGUGAGGUGUUGGGUUAAGUCCCGCAACGAGCGCAACCCUUAUCAUUAGUUGCCAACGCGUAAAGGCGGGAACUCUAAUGAGACUGCCUGGGUUAACCAGGAGGAAGGUGAGGAUGACGUCAAGUCCGCAUGGCCCUUAUGUCUGGGGCUACACACGUGCUACAAUGGCCGGUACAGAAGGCAGCGAAACUGUGAAGUGAAGCAAAUCCCGAAAGCCGGCCCCAGUUCAGAUUGUAGUCUGCAACUCGACUACAUGAAGAUGGAAUUGCUAGUAAUGGCGAGUCAGCAACAUCGCCGUGAAUACGUUCCCGGGCCUUGUACACACCGCUCGUC